rnacentral:rRNA from 1 species
UGAGGAAUAUUGCGCAAUGGGGGAAACCCUGAUGCAGCCAUGCCGCGUGUGUGAAGAAGGCCUUCGGGUUGUAAAGCACUUUCAGCGAGGAGGAAAGGGGUGAUGCUAAUACCAUCAUCCUGUGACGUUACUCGCAGAAGAAGCACCGGCUAACUCCGUGCCAGCAGCCGCGGUAAUACGUAGGGUGCGAGCGUUAAUCGGAAUUACUGGGCGUAAAGCGUGCGCAGGCGGUUUUGUAAGUCAGAUGUGAAAUCCCCGAGCUCAACUUGGGAACUGCGUUUGAAACUACAAGACUAGAAUAUGUCAGAGGGGGGUAGAAUUCCACGUGUAGCAGUGAAAUGCGUAGAGAUGUGGAGGAAUACCAAUGGCGAAGGCAGCCCCCUGGGAUAAUAUUGACGCUCAUGCACGAAAGCGUGGGGAGCAAACA